GAUGAACGCUGGCGGCGUGCUUAACACAUGCAAGUCGAACGGGAAACUUUUCAUUGAAGCUUCGGCAGAUUUGGUCUGUUUCUAGUGGCGGACGGGUGAGUAACGCGUGGGUAACCUGCCUUAUACAGGGGGAUAACAACCAGAAAUGGUUGCUAAUACCGCAUAAGCGCACAGGACCGCAUGGUCCGGUGUGAAAAACUCCGGUGGUAGAAGAUGGACCCGCGUUGGAUUAGCUAGUUGGCAGGGUAACGGCCUACCAAGGCGACGAUCCAUAGCCGGCAUGAGAGGGUGAACGGCCACAUUGGGACUGAGACACGGCCCAGAAUCCUACGGGAGGCAGCAGUGGGGAAUAUUGCACAAUGGGGGAAACCCUGAUGCAGCGACGCCGCGUGAAGGAAGAAGUAUCUCGGUAUGUAAACUUCUAUCAGCAGGGAAGAUAGUGACGGUACCUGACUAAGAAGCCCCGGCUAACUACGUG
rnacentral:rRNA from 1 species